GGCAUAGUGUCAUUAAUUCUGAUAAUUUUAUGUUGUUUCUGCUGAAAUAAGGAGGAUGGCUGGAGAGGGAGAUCAAAUGCUUCCAGCAUAUAGACCAAGGAUGCCUUCUCAGUACAGUCAUCAUAGAGAAUUCAGCAGUGGGGACCCUAAUACGAGAGAACACCAAGUUGGGGCAAACUGGCUAUCUUUGUCCCCAAGCCAGCGAGACAUCAUACCCAGAGACCCUGCACUCUCCCAAGGAAAUAGAAGAUCUAUGAGAGCAACCAGUGGCGAUGCGGUCCUUUACUGAGAAGUUCCAGACCCUUUCAAGUGGAAUCCAACAUCUUCUACCAGAAAAGCAGCUACUACCUGUGGAAUCCAGAUGCUGGGACCCAGCCACUUUCUUCCAGUUUCUCUUCAGCCUGUACCCCCUCUCUACCCAUGCAUUUCUCUCCUUCCCUAUCCCAGUUCACAGCAGUUUCAAAUUAAAUUACCUCUCAUGUUUUGUGUUUUGCUCUCUCCGACGGGUGUGAGGUUCCUCCCUGUCAGAGAAUUUUAAGAACAGUUUCCUUGCUUAAU